UUCCGCUCUCCGUUUCAAAAAACCCCUCUUCGGCGCCCAAAUCUUCUCCACGACGCCUUUCUUCCUCUUCCUACCAUUUCCCCUCUCGCUUUGGAGGCGCCGUCGACGCUCUCGAUAACCCGACAAACCCUAGUCUCCGAUGGCUCACUUCACGGAUCGUUGAGUUCUAGGAUGGCGGCGGCCGCUCGAUCUGAUCGAUGGUAGAUCGCUGAGAACCGAAACCAUCGAAACGUCACUGAGACUCGUCUCCUAUGGCUCAGCUCGUCGAGCUCUCGCGACGGUGGCUUCUCGGUCUAAUGCCUAUCUCCCUUUCAUUUCUUGAUUAGGAUUGUGUCCGUUAUUGAGUGCUUUUGAGUUUUAAGAUGUUCUUGGGCGCCGAUCUUCGAGGAAGCAAUCGCCGUAGCGGCAUGGAAGGCUCAUACAGCUCGCCGUUUUCUUGACGGCGCCGACAAAACCCUUGAAACGGCAAUUCCCGCUGGCUCACGUUUCGGAUAGUCGUGCUUCCGACGCAGCAACUUGUUAAGAUUCUACACGCUGGGUGCUUGAGGAUACGUCCAGGCUGGAUGGCUUCUGUAGUAAUAGAAUCAUUAUCUUUAUCUUAAAGCUGGAUGGCUGCAGUGUGGAUCAAGUCUUCUUCUGGAUCUUGUUAAAGGUAAAUACAGAGUUGUAAUUUAUUGCUCAGGCUUUUGAUCAGUGAAAAGGAAAAGCAAAGGAGGCAAGAAAUCAAGAUUAUUAACAAGACAACGAAGUGAAAAGAGGGUUAGGGUUUUGAUCUGCGCCAAUCUCGCGGAUCAAUACAAGGCAGACAAAGAAGAAAGAAAGAAAUCAAGAGAAUUAAUAACGACAGAACAAGAUGAAAAGAGGGUUAGCCUUUCGAUCGAUCGACAUGGAAGAUGAUGGGCUUUACCCAAAACGGAGAUGGAAGGGAUUGCCCGGCUUCCGUCUCAGCCCCUUCCUCCACCGCCACAAUUCUUGCUACAUCGAGAUCGGAGAUCGAGUCGCAUCCUGGGAACCGAGGGCGGGAAGGGGAAGGGGGUUUCAAUCAGGCUCGGAGGAGGCCAUUCGAUGCGUGAUGUGCUCAGGUUUUGGAGGAAGCCCGCUACACGUGUUCUUAUAUAGGGCACGGCGUCUCUCUCUUUCUCUCUCUCUCUCUCUCUCUCUCUCUCUCUCUCUCUAUAUAUAUAUAUAUAUAUAUAUAUAUAUACCUUGCAUGCAUCAUUAAUGUG